rnacentral:rRNA from 1 species
GACAGAGGCCCCGAGCGUUAAUCGGAAUCACUGGGCUUAAAGGGUGCGUAGGCCGGCCCGCAAGUGCUUUGUGAAAUCCCAUGGCUCAACCAUGGAACAGCGGAGCAUACUGCGGGUCUGAGGAAGGUAGGGGUUGCCGGAACUGUAGGUGGAGCGGUGAAAUGCGUAGAUAUCUACAGGAACGCCGAUGGUGAAGACGGGCAACGUAGGGCCUUUCCUGACGCUGAGGCACGAAAGCCGUGGGGAGCAAACAGGG